rnacentral:tRNA from 1 species
AACUUAGCUCAGUCGGUAGAGCAACUGAUUCGUAAUCAGUAGGUCGGGAGUUCAACUCUCCCAGUU